rnacentral:rRNA from 1 species
GAAUUACUGGGCGUAAAGCGUGCGCAGGCGGUUUUGUAAGCCAGAUGUGAAAUCCCCGGGCUCAACCUGGGAAUGGCAUUUGGGACUGCAAGGCUGGAGUGUGGCAGAGGAGACUGGAAUUCCUGGUGUAGCAGUGAAAUGCGUAGAUAUCAGGAGGAAUACCGAUGGCGAAGGCAGGUCUCUGGGCUGACACUGACGCUCAUGCACGAAAGCGUGGGGAGCAAACAGGAUUAGAUACCCUGGUAGUCCACGCCCUAAACGAUGUCGACUGGUUGUUGGGGGUUUGACACUCUCAGUAACGAAGCUAACGCGUGAAGUCGACCGCCUGGGGAGUACGGCCGCAAGGUUAAAACUCAAAGGAAUUGACGGGGACCCGCACAAGCGGUGGAUUAUGUGGAUUAAUUCGAUGCAACGCGAAAAACCUUACCUACCCUUGACAUGUCCUGAAUCCCGCUGAGAGGUGGGAGUGCCCGAAAGGGAACGGGAACACAGGUGCUGCAUGGCU